rnacentral:lncRNA from 9 species
UUUUUUUUUUUAAUUAAAUAACAGCCGGUAUCAUAAUUCCUCUUUGGGGUGAAAUUCUUUUUUCUCUUCUUUCCUUUUUUUUUUUUUUUUUUUUUUUGAGAAAGAUAAACUGGUACAUUUUGUAGACUCUGCAUAGGAGAACAUGUCCUGGGUGCAGGAGGGAGAGAGAUGGGGUGUGGGGGCUGGGUGUCCUCAGACAAAAAGGAUUCCGAGGUGGGAGGAAGCUGGGUGACCUGGCUUUUUUGGCAACAAGUGCAAAAGGCAUUUGUUGCAUUGUGUGAAUGGAUAGUUUGGGGGUGCUGUGGGGAGCAGUUAAUUUCAGGUGUCAGUCAAAACAAGCUGCAUAAACAUGGAGUCUGGGCGGUGGGAACUCAGGAGGCCCUGAGCACAGAAGCCCACGUCAAGUUGCAGAGAUCCGGAGGCAUUUGGACUGCUACAGCCUGUGGUGGAGUGACAGGGGGCAGGUCACUUGGUGAUCCUGCAGGAGGAAGCACCCAGAUGGAGGAGGUGAUUGUUGCUUGGUUGGCCAGCUGGCGCCGGGGUCCUCAUUUCUGGAAGGAAAGAGGUGCCAGAGAAAUCCUUUUGGAAUCACUAAAGUGAGCCACGCUCUAACCCAUGCACCAGAGGGGAAGAUGUGAUGACCUUGGACCUCCAGGGAGCUUCCCUCAGGGUCAGUGGAAGGUGUGGAGCCCCACUGUUCAGGGAAAUGGGGGCACUGUCAGAUCCUCUGUAUUGAAAAUGAAAAGUUUCCUGCUUCCUUGUGUUAAUUCGUGGGGAAAGCAAAAGGCUUUGGUUCUAGGUUUAUGAUUAUGAAGUGGU